rnacentral:tRNA from 7 species
GCCGGCUUAGCUCAGUGGUAGAGCAGCGCUUUUGUAAAGCGAAGGUCGUCGGUUCAAAUCCGUCAGCCGGCU